rnacentral:lncRNA from 1 species
AAACAGCGUGUCUUUUUAGCGUCCACUUAGCGUCUUCAUUCCAGCUUGGCGUCGAAAUUAACAAAGUUAGAAUUUACAGUCCUAACUAUUGGAGAAAGCAAGGGAAAUGGGAAUUGACAUAGGGAAGGCGGACGUAGGAGAAGAGCCACAGUUCAGUAAUUUCCUGCUGUAGCAAUUUAAUUUGAAGAAAGAGUGGGACGUAAGGAAAGGGGCAGACCACCCCUAUUUGUGAGGCCCCGUCAAAAGUGUAAAUGAAGGCCCACAUACUUUUUGACUGAAUAUUUAAAAGUUGUAAAUGAAGCUAUAUACUAAAGGAGAUACGUUCUAGCCUCCUACCUUAAAUAUAUCUUCCUAACAGUCUGGAAGAUCAAGUCCGAAUUUAGAAUUCUAGGACUGGAAUUCCAGGCAAGCAGAGCUGCCAAAAUCCUUCUCUACGCGUUCCACUUCCCCUUUACACCGCAUGGGCGGACACUUGGCCACCGCCGGGGCCUUGGGGUGAGCACACGCUCAGGAGGAUGGACCUAAAGAAACGCUUUUGCAAGCCCUGAAAACAACAGUGAUGAAGUAGAACUGCAUGUAACAAUAUGGAUACAUCUGAAAAAUACGCUGUUAAAUGAGCAAAACAGAUUGCAGACGGAUAGCACAAGCUCAGCCCAGCACUAUGUUUUUCAAUCCUCUUAGCAUUGGAAUAAUCCAAGGAACUUAAAAACAUACACACAUAAAACGAUGUGGGAACGUCACCCCCGGGAAUUCUGAUUCUGCUGGUCUAGGGUCAGACACAAGCACAGGUGAGUUUUAAAAGUUUCUUAGGCAGUGCUAAUGUGCAGGCAGCAUUGAGGACCACUGGCCUAGACUAAUCUUGAAAUAGAAACUCGAACUGGAGAACUGCAGAACAUCUGACUUCUGGAAAUCAAAACUUGAGUGGUUCCAAUGAUACUUUUAUUACAACUGAUCUCUAAGAUGGUGUCAGACCUGCAGAAGGUGCUAAAAAGGCUAUAACUGAUGCAUUGCCCCUGAAUUAAGGUUGAUGACUUUGGACCUUGGUUGUAGGAAAUAA